rnacentral:rRNA from 1 species
GGGGAAUUUUGGACAAUGGGCGAAAGCCUGAUCCAGCAAUGCCGCGUGCAGGAUGAAGGCCUUCGGGUUGUAAACUGCUUUUGUACGGAACGAAAAAGCUUCUCCUAAUACGAGAGGCCCAUGACGGUACCGUAAGAAUAAGCACCGGCUAACUACGUGCCAGCAGCCGCGGUAAUACGUAGGGUGCGAGCGUUAAUCGGAAUUACUGGGCGUAAAGCGUGCGUAGGUGGUUGUUUAAGUCUGUCGUGAAAGCCCUGGGCUCAACCUGGGAAUGGCGAUGGAAACUGGGCGACUAGAGUGUGGCAGAGGGUAGUGGAAUUCCUGGUGUAGCAGUGAAAUGCGUAGAGAUCAGGAGGAACAUCCGUGGCGAAGGCGACUGCCUGGGCCAACACUGACACUGAGGCACGAAAGCGUGGGGAGCAAACA